CACAGCUGGAGAAGUGUCUAACCUGGAUUCGUGCAUGCAGCCGUCACACAACUCAGUGUUAAGAAUGUUACAAAAGACACUUAUAUAUGUUCAAAGCAUUUCAAAAGUGCCAGUGGCCCAACAUCAGAUUAUCCUGAUCCUGUUCCCUUUGACAGCAGUGUCUUCAGAAAAGCAAGAAAAAGACUAUAGCAGGAGGUUGAAAGGUAAUAUUAUUAUACUACACAUCAAAACAUCUGAGAACAUGUAAAUUAGGCAUAAUUUUCAAUUACUCAUUUCUUGG